GAUGAACGCUGACAGAAUGCUUAACACAUGCAAGUCAACUGUGGCGGACGGGUGAGUAACGCGUAAAGAACUUGCCUCACAGAUAGGGACAACAUUUGGAAACGAAUGCUAAUACCUGAUACUGUGAGAGAGCUUUGCGUCCAAUUAGCUAGUUGGAGAGGUAACGGCUCACAAAGGCGAUGAUGGGUAGCCGGCCUGAGAGGGUGAUAGGCCACAAGGGGAAUUAGAGACGGCCCUUACACCUACGGGGGGCAGCAGUGGGGAAUAUUGGACAAUGGACCAAAGUCUGAUCCAGCAAUUCUGUGUGCACGAUGAAGUUUUCGGAAUGUAAAGUGCUUUCAGUUGGGAAGCGAAACCAACAGAAGAAGUGACGGCUAACUACGCGCCAGCAGCCGCGGUAAUAC
rnacentral:rRNA from 1 species